GUAGUCCACGCCGUAAACGAUGGGCGCUAGGUGUCGGGGGUAUCGACCCCUCCGGUGCCACAGCUAACGCGCUAAGUGCCCCGCCUGGGGACUACGGCCGCAAGGCUAAAACUCAAAGGAAUUGGCGGGGCCCGCACAAGCAGCGGAGCGUGUGGUUUAAUUCGACGCAACGCGAAGAACCUUACCUGGGCUUGACAUGCGCGUGGUACGAGGGGGAAACCUUGAGGACCCGCAAGGGAGCGCGCACAGAUGCUGCAUGGCUGUCGUCAGCUCGUGCCGUGAGGUGUUGGGUUAAG
rnacentral:rRNA from 1 species